rnacentral:rRNA from 1 species
CUGCGGCAGCUUACACAUGCAGUCGAGCGGUAACAGGGGGUGCUUGCACCCCGCUGACGAGCGGCGGACGGGUGAGUAAUGCAUAGGAAUCUGCCCAGUAGUGGGGGAUAGCCCGGGGAAACCCGGAUUAAUACCGCAUACGCCCUUUGGGAGAAAGCAGGGGAUCUUCGGACCUUGCGCUAUUGGAUGAGCCUAUGUCGGAUUAGCUAGUUGGUGGGGUAAAGGCCUACCAAGGCGACGAUCCGUAGCUGGUCUGAGAGGAUGAUCAGCCACAUCGGGACUGAGACACGGCCCGAACUCCUACGGGAGGCAGCAGUGGGGAAUAUUGGACAAUGGGGGCAACCCUGAUCCAGCCAUGCCGCGUGUGUGAAGAAGGCUUUCGGGUUGUAAAGCACUUUCAGUGAGGAGGAAAACCUUCUGGUUAAUACCCAUGAGGCUUGACGUUACUCACAGAAGAAGCACCGGCUAACUCCGUGCCAGCAGCCGCGGUAAUACGGAGGGUGCAAGCGUUAAUCGGAAUUACUGGGCGUAAAGCGCGCGUAGGUGGUUUGAUAAGCGAGAUGUGAAAGCCCCGGGCUUAACCUGGGAACGGCAUUUCGAACUGUCAGGC